rnacentral:rRNA from 1 species
UACGUAGGGGGCAAGCGUUGUCCGGAAUCAUUGGGCGUAAAGAGCGUGUAGGCGGCGAGAUAGGUCUGCUGUGAAAACUCGAGGCUCAACCUCGAGCUGUCGGCGGAAACCAUCUGGCUAGAGUCCGGAAGAGGAGAGUGGAAUUCCCGGUGUAGCGGUGAAAUGCGCAGAUAUCGGGAAGAACACCUGUGGCGAAGGCGGCUCUCUGGGACGGUACUGACGCUGAGACGCGAAAGCGUGGGGAGCAAACAGG